rnacentral:rRNA from 1 species
ACCAAGGCAACGAUCCGUAGCUGGUCUGAGAGGAUGAUCAGCCACAUCGGGACUGAGACACGGCCCGAACUCCUACGGGAGGCAGCAGUGGGGAAUAUUGGACAAUGGGGGCAACCCUGAUCCAGCCAUGCCGCGUGUGUGAAGAAGGCCCUCGGGUUGUAAAGCACUUUCAGCGAGGAAGAACGCCUAUCGGUUAAUACCCGGUAGGAAAGACAUCACUCGCAGAAGAAGCACCGGCUAACUCCGUGCCAGCAGCCGCGGUAAUACGGAGGGUGCAAGCGUUAAUCGGAAUUACUGGGCGUAAAGCGCGCGUAGGUGGCUUGAUAAGCCGGUUGUGAAAGCCCCGGGCUCAACCUGGGAACGGCAUCCGGAACUGUCAGGCUAGAGUGCAGGAGAGGAAGGUAGAAUUCCCGGUGUAGCGGUGAAAUGCGUAGAGAUCGGGAGGAAUACCAGUGGCGAAGGCGGCCUUCUGGACUGACACUGACACUGAGGUGCGAAAGCGUGGGUAGCAAACAGGAUUAGAUACCCUGGUAGUCCACGCCGUAAACGAUGUCGACCAGCCGUUGGGUGCCUAGAGCACUUUGUGGCGAAGUUAACGCGAUAAGUCGACCGCCUGGGGAGUACGGCCGCAAGGUUAAAACUCAAAUGAAUUGACGGGGGCCCGCACAAGCGGUGGAGCAUGUGGUUUAAUUCGAUGCAACGCGAAGAACCUUACCUACCCUUGACAUCUACAGAAGCCGGAAGAGAUUCUGGUGUGCCUUCGGGAACUGUAAGACAGGUGCUGCAUGGCUGUCGUCAGCUCGUGUUGUGAAAUGUUGGGUUAAGUCCCGUAACGAGCGCAACCCUUGUCCUUAUUUGCCAGC